UAGGGAAUCUUCCACAAUGGACGAAAGUCUGAUGGAGCAACGCCGCGUGAGUGAAGAAAGGUUUUCGGAUCGUAAAGCUCUGUUGUUGGUGAAGAAGGAUAGAGGCAGUAACUGGUCUUUAUUUGACGGUAAUCAACCAGAAAGUCACGGCUAACUACGUGCCAGCAGCCGCGGUAAUACGUAGGUGGCAAGCGUUGUCCGGAUUUAUUGGGCGUAAAGCGAGCGCAGGCGGAAUGAUAAGUCUGAUGUGAAAGCCCACGGCUCAACCGUGGAACUGCAUCGGAAACUGUCAUUCUUGAGUGCAGAAGAGGAGAGUGGAACUCCAUGUGUAGCGGUGGAAUGCGUAGAUAUAUGGAAGAACACCAGUGGCGAAGGCGGCUCUCUGGUCUGCAACUGACGCUGAGGCUCGAAAGCAUGGGUAGCGAACAGGAUUAGAUACC
rnacentral:rRNA from 1 species